rnacentral:sRNA from 2 species
AUGAUUCUACAUCCGAACUCUUUGCACUCUGGAGACGGGGGACGAAAGUAAUGGGGCGAAUCGGGGCGAGGAAGCGUGAUCUUGGCGCGUAUCUUGGUACCGUAGGGGUGAGAAGCCGUAUCCCGAGCCCGUCAACUAACCUCGUAGGAUGAAAGGGGCUUACUG